AUGAACUCUUGGUGAAAGAUUCGUUUGGUUCUUUCUGCCUUUAGUUAUAUACAUUAUACACGUCAAUAAUUUUAUUUAGUUUUUUAUUUCCUAUUUGAAUUUUUUGCUUCCCUGUUCUUUUGUAUUUGUGAUAUCCAAAUUCAGUGCACCAAGAGACUUCACACUUAAACUUUUUGUUGCUCUGUUUGCUAUGUACAGGCUUCUCUUUUUCUACACAUUACCAUACCAUGUUGUGAAAUUUUUUAGACACGUAACAGUAUCCAAACAACUAGUUGAUGCGUUGUUGAAAGAUGACAUUGGCUAUCACAUGGGUUUCAUUAAGAUAUCUUGCAUGCCUGGUUAAUAUCAAACUGCUAGCGGAUAUCGAUUGAGGACUUUUGCCAUCCUUGUUUCGUAUCAAUUACAUCAGUUUCACGUGCAUGACAAUACUUCUUACCUUUCUUGCUCCAUAAUUUUUCAUGUUCCUUAUUUUUUAGGCUAGGGAUAGAACAGUUAUCUAGUUACUUUUGUUAGAAAAUACAUUAUAUGUCAAAUACAAAUAUAGUAGUAGAAAAACAUCUCAUGGAUCAUCGAUACAUGGAGUUCUUCCAGAGGGGGACCCCUUGUUAGAUUUUUAGGUUUAGUUGAGGUUUUAGUUUUGGGGGGUUUAAGUGUGCAAAGUUUGAUAUUUUAGGUGUGGAAAUGAAUUGAUUAUAGAAAUGGUUAUAGUGUCAGAGUUGAAAGAAACAUUAUAGGCCUUGGACUAUUGAAGGGAAGGAUUUUUAUUGCAGAGAAGGUAGCAUGCAAGGUUACAUAGUAGAAAGCCUUAAAUUUUUUGGCUUAGUUACAAUUGCUUGGCUAUUUCUGAGCCCUUUUACACGACAUAGUACACAGUACGCAUCAAUUACUUGCACUGCUGAACUUCCACUUAUUAACCACAUAUUUACCGACUCAUUACUCUAAAAGCUAGAGCUACAACUACUUUGUCUCUAACUAAUGUUUAUCCAGAACUAUCACUACCGAAACUAACAAUGGUAUUUUAGAUUCCACCAAGUGGUAGCUCCUGACCUAAUUUGCUUGUGGCAGGGAAAUAUUAGUCUUCCAAGGCAGAAUCAGAAUGAUUAUGUUUAUUACAUCUGGUGCCUAAGGCCGGUGAUGUUAAGAUCUGGCAUGCAACAAUAGUUUUGUGAUGAUUUUAUCUUUGAUCCCUCACUUGUGCUGUUAGUAUUACUGCGUUUUAAAAUGUGCAGUUUGAACUCAUGGUAUCAUGGCAAGAGAAUGGGUAAAUGAUGAUUUAUCAUUAACUAUUUGUUCAUGCAUGUUAAAACGUUACGGCUGUUAGCUGGUAACCUACGUAUAUUUUUUGUUUUGACUUUUUAUGUCAAAAAAAAUGAAUUAUAGGUUUCUUCGAAUGUUUAAAAAUGAUAAGGUGUAGUAUCAGGACAUGUUCCAAAUAUGCAAAAGAACACUAGCAAAAACUGUAGGCAGACAAUAUGGCAGAGUCAAGCAAGUUUAAGAACGCAGAAAAAGGGACUUGAAGCCAACCGUUGUCAGACCAUAAACCAGUUAAAUAAUUAUCAAUUGAGGCAUAUUUAAACUCUCCUACCACGAGCUAAAUAUGAUUGUUUUGUCCUAUCUGCAAACUGCAUUUAUGACAAGUCCAAAUUUCACAGAGGCAAUUUUUCUGAAAAUUAGAAAAGAUUUUUCGGACUAUCAGACAAACUAAACGAGGGUUAUCGGAUUAGUGGAAAAUCCUGCUCAUUGGACUUUGGUUGAUGCUAAAGGUGUUGGCAAAUUCUAAUACCCAAACAAGUGACUAAAAAAUGCAGCAUCCCUGUAUCCUUUCUUAGAACUGGGACAAGUUAUUGUGAACCAGUUUGAAGCAAUAGCUGCCCAUGGACCAUUAGGCGGAGAGGGGAAAGGGGAAAAGGGCUCUCGUUUGAACUGUGAAUCCCACUAAUAGUCAAUCCAUUGAUAAUCUCUUAAAAAGAGAGCAUGAAUGAUCACAUAUUGAGUCGAGUGUUUCAGUACGUGAUCUAGCAAAGUGGUAGAGGGAAAUCCCUACAGGUUAGUGAUUCAUUACUGGUGAAAGAGUGGGAUCACACACUAAGCUUCUCAAAAACUAUAGUUAUCCUAAACGCAUGCCACUUCUCUGGUGGACUAUAUUGGAGAGGUAUUAUUAGGUGUUUAAAAAGGAUUUGUAUUGACAAUUAAGUAAAGGUUGGCCUCUCCUCCUCAAUGUUUCGACAAAGAGCAUCAAUGGGUUGCCGGAUUUUCUUUUCCAAGGCAUUGAGAAUUUAUUGUUUGAUUGGUUUUACCAUCUGCUAUCAUGAGUUUCCUGCGAGAGUGUUUGAACAGGAUAAGCAAUGGAGUGUGCGCGCGCAUUAGAAUUGGUCCACUAAGCCCAACACAGCUGUCCUGCUAUGAUGCCUUGUUCUAAUAACAUAUGCUAGGGUUUGGUUUUGGCCCUUCUUUAUCUGAUAAUUUUACAGGUUUAAUUCUAUAUGGUGUUGGCUCACUGUAACUAGCUGAGAUUCAAAAAAAUCAACGUAUUAUUUUAGUUAUUUUAA